AUACGCCGCGUGAUCCGCCCGCUUCCUCCUCCCCGCGCCCGCAGCACCCGCCGCCGAUGGUAGCCGCCACGCCCGCGCAAGGGAAGUUGCUUCCCAAAUCCGCGCACGGGUACAAGAUUUCCUCUGUCCAACCACUCGCAUGGCACAAGUGCUCAGAUUUGGAUCCUUCAGACAAGAUUUCCCAAAUCCCGCAGACAAGUUCAUCCGAGCGCAUCCCGCAGCCCCACGCGCGCAUCCCGCAGCCGCGCCGCAGCCGCUCCUUCCAUCCGCGAGGAUCCCCCAGCCGCUCUUUCCAUCCUCACGAGGAUCCCCCAGCCGUUCCUUCCAUCCUCGCGGAUCCGAGCGCGCUCGAUCGGAUACCCUUAAUCGCGGCUACCAUAAACGCGCUCCUACCCCACGAAAUCGAUGGCGCGCGUGUUGAGGGCGUGGGGAGGAGGUGCGCGGCCGCCAUCAACGAUGUCCUACCCAUCUGCUCCGCGAUUCUUGCCAUUCUUCCUGGUUACCAAUCAGUUUUUGGUUCCCCCGCUGAAGCUCAGAUCUAUCUGAAUGGCUUCCCUAUGAAGCAUCAUCUGGAACUGUUAUCUUGUUGGUUGCUCUCCCAUGCAGUGGUGUUGUACGAAUUUUAUUCUUCUGCAGUAACAGGUACAGAACCAUUGUUGCUUUCAGAUUUGUCGAGUACCACAAGGCAUGAAAUCGUUGGAUUUUUCAGAUUUGUCUACCACGGUUUCAGAAGUUGCAUUUUCGGUGUUUGCUCCCACUACAAUGCUCUCAUCAUUGAGUUCCUUUAUAGUUGUCGUCUGAUCUGGGUUUGAAGCAAUUGCGUUCUCUUUCAUUUGGUUGAUAUGGCUCUCUUUCUCCACAAGAGCUGCUUCCAAUUCUUUCUGCGUGUUGGUAAGAUAUGUCGUGGUAGUUUCUGAAUCCAUGAGCUUGUUUUUCAAUUCUGCCCUCUCAAUACUUAGGACAAAUGUUUUUCAAUUCUGCCCUCUCAAUUCUGCUUCCAAUUAUAUUUGUUUGUUACAAAAUACUUUAAAUUGUCAUUUCAUUUAAACUGUUUAUUGUAAACUAGAAAGUAUACAUACAUAUACACAGAUUUGUACACGUAAUCAUGUACAAAAUUUGCCACACCUCAAAUUUUGUGCGUCCUCCGCCACUGCUCGCCCCCACACCUCGCCCUCCAUCCACCUCCCCAAAUGACGCGCCUUCCUGGAAUUAAAAAGGCCGAAGGGAGGCCACACACGAGACCACCAAUCGGACACACGCGAGUACAUCCGACGCCCACCAUCAGCCAGUGUACAGAGCCGUUGCGAUGCCCGUGCCUCUGCCCCCGCCUCCUCUACCCUCGCGACGCAACAUCACUGCGAACACUCUAGCAGUGCUAGAAGCCAUGGCUGCACACAAUGUGAGGACUCUCAUCUACUCCAGCACGUGUGCGACCUAUGGAGAGCCUGACAAGAUGCCCUCGCUGAAGGAACUCCCCAGCAUUAUAUUGGUGAUAUCUCAGAGUUGGAUGCAUUGGAAGGCUUUGCUAAAGGUUUUCCUGGUUUUUAUCAUAGAUCUGUGCAUAAGAUUUUCUUGAUUUUUUGUUUGUUUCAGAGAAAGCAGUAUUCUAACAUGGCAUGUUCCUACCUUGUUUUCUUAUUUGUCUGUGUUGUCUCCUGCAUGUUAUACACAAAAUCUUUGUACCCACAAUCUUUGUAUUCUAAGAUCGAUAAGUGCCCAAAAUCUUUGUAUGCUUCUAAACAGACCUUUGGUAUUGUUGUACACAUUGGAUUCAAUACCACUUCUGUUGUCUCGGUAAGUAAUUGUCCAUAUUUAUAUUAUUAAGGGUUUUCAAUUAUUUACAGUGUGUUCCCAUGCGUUUGGUGAACAUUAGCCAUGUUGUUUGGCAUAUACAUCUUUCAGCUGCACUUAUCAUGUCAUUUACAUUUCACCAUUUUGAUGUGGAUCUGAAAUCACAUUGUUAAUUUUUUUGUAUUGAUCUACUACUACCUUGUCAAUUGUUUUUAUUUUCUAAAUUUUUAGGGAGUUCCAAUGUUCUAUAUGGGUGAUGAAUAUGGUCACACAAAGGGAGGGAACAACAAUACAUACUUCCAUGACCAUUAUGUCAAUUAUUUCCGUUGGGAUAAGAAGGAAGAACAAUCCUCUGAGUUGUACAGAUUCUGCCGUCUCAUGACCAAAUUCCGCAACAUCUAUUUUCCUGACCUAUGAUGACGACUCAAGGAGGUUUGCAGCCGACAAGCAAUGAA
rnacentral:misc_RNA from 1 species